AUGCUGUCUUCCUUCUGCUCACAGUGGUGUUCCUGUGUUCCAACAGAUUCAUGUGUUUGUGGCAAUGGCUCUUCUCCUAGGAUGCAGCAUAUAAAUUAUCUCUUCCAUACAAAGCAUCACAGAAAACAAUUUUUUCAAGUGGUCACAGAUGAGCAAUGUCCAAAGGAAUUUUCCUUUUCAGAGGCUUCAUUUAAUGCAUCUGUUUGUUGUUCUAGGGUGUGCAAUCUGCAAAAGGUCAUAAUCUGCAGGUGCAAAUACGUUCACCAAAGCUCUCUGGAGAAAUACUUGAUUCUGAAGUUACUGGAUACUGGACAACUCCAGUUUUUCUGAAGGGAAAGAUCUGUUGGGCAUUAGCUGUGGAGUCUUUCUGCUUCAGCUGUGAUCAGAAGGAAUACAGGAAAGAAAAACAAGUAAGGUAAACUAUUUUAAAAUCUUUAAGCAGUUGAAAUUCAAAUGGAAAUAUAUACCUACUUUUACUGUUAGAAUAUUGGUGUGCUCAUCGUUUUCUGUUAUUUAGGCAAUCAGUCUUUCUACACUGAAUUAGCAGUGAGUGUGUUGGUGAUAGAGCCCACAGAAAGAACAAGACUCAUUGACCUCAAUUCCUGAAAUGCAAUAAUAAUAGGCACUUGUGAUGUUACUAGAGCCCGUGAAGUUCUUAAUUUGGAUGUAAACUUCACUCAUUCACCCUACCCAUUUUUUUCCUUCCCCUAGAUUUAACAGUUAUUCAAAGAAUGUUUCAUAACUUAAUUAUUACUAUGUAUAGUGAGUUCAAAUGCUUGGCAGAUUAACAAUAAUGUUAUUGCAAAGAAUGUUAACUGCUGCUGCAUCAGUAGCACUCCAGCAAGUUUUUAAUGUGUUCAGGACAGUAGUGUGGCUGACCACCUGGGAAGAUAGCAGAAGCCUUCUUUUGUUUGAUGUUCAGUUUUAGUCCACAGUGUCUGCCGUAGUGAUCAGCUCUGCCCAUGUACAGGAUAGCAGGGGCCAUGAACAAACUGCAUGUCUCAGUGCAAGAGGAAAACAGAUAAGGGCC
rnacentral:lncRNA from 1 species